ACUCAAAGGAAUAGACGGGGGCCCGCACAAGCGGUGGAGCAUGUGGUUUAAUUCGAUGCUACGCGAAGAACCUUACCUACCCUUGAAAUCCUAGGAAUCUUCUAGAAAUAGAGGAGUGCCUUUGGGAACCUAGAGACAGGUGCUGCAUGGCUGUCGUCAGCUCGUGUCGUGAGAUGUUGGGUUAAGUCCCGUAACGAGCGCAACCCUUACCUUUAGUUGCUAACAGUUCGGCUGAGAACUCUAAAGGAACUGCCUGCGUUAAGCAGGAGGAAGGCGAGGACGAGGUCAAGUCAUCAUGGCCCUUAUGGGUAGGGCAACACACGUGCUACAAUGGGAAGUACAGAGGGUAGCCAAGCCGCGAGGCGGAGCCAAUCUCACAAAACUUCUCGUAGUCCAGAUUGGAGUCUGCAACUCGACUCUAUGAAGUUGGAAUCGCUAGUAAUCGCGAAUCAGAAUGUCGCGGUGAAUACGUUCUCGGGCCUUGUACACACCGCCCGU
rnacentral:rRNA from 1 species